AUGUCAUCAUUUUAGAAGAAUACCAGUCUGUAGAAUGUGGAGGUGAAGCAGAUAAGUCUAAUCAGGAGGUGCCAAAAAGAGAAACUCGCCACCCCACGAAAAAGACUGAAGCAGCUGCUGGAUGCAGCACGACUUUUGACAAGAAAAAGACGGACACACCUGGCCUAGACGGCACGACCUUGGACAUGACUGACUUUAAGAUGGCC